rnacentral:rRNA from 1 species
GAUGAACGCUGGCGGCGUGCCUAAUACAUGCAAGUCGAGCGAACGGACGAGAAGCUUGCUUUUCUGAUGUUAGCGGUGGACGGGUGAGUAACACGUGGAUAACCUACCUAUAAGACUGGGAUAACUUCGGGAAACCGGAGCUAAUACCGGAUAAUAUUUUGAACCGCAUGGUUCAAAAGUGAAAGACGGUCUUGCUGUCACUUAUAGAUGGAUCCGCGCUGCAUUAGCUAGUUGGUAAGGUAACGGCUUACCAAGGCAACGAUGCAUAGCCGACCUGAGAGGGUGAUCGGCCACACUGGAACUGAGACACGGUCCAGACUCCUACGGGAGGCAGCAGUAGGGAAUCUUCCGCAAUGGGCGAAAGCCUGACGGAGCAACGCCGCGUGAGUGAUGAAGGUCUUCGGAUCGUAAAACUCUGUUAUUAGGGAAGAACAUAUGUGUAAGUAACUGUGCACAUCUUGACGGUACCUAAUCAGAAAGCCACGGCUAACUACGUG